rnacentral:lncRNA from 1 species
CAAACACCAACCAAGUUACCAGGCUGAGGGCUAAGCAAUGUAUAUACAAUGUAUUUCAUCGUUCCAUAUUUUUUAAAGCACCUACUGAAGACAAGGAGUAUGCUUGGGAGACACAACAGUGAAUACAAAACAGCUCCUCCUCUCAAGGCAUUUACAGAGCAGUGAGGGAAAAUAGACAUGUUUAAUACAAAGAUAGCUGAUGAAAUCGCUUUCUGUCAGUAGCAAUUGCUGUAUGGCAAAUUCUAAGAAAAGCAACUUUGUUAAUCUGGAUUCACACUAAACUGAUAUGCACGAAACAUCAGAUGAGUAUGUCACAGCCCAUCUGGCUUCCCUUUUGUGCUGGCUACUCGGAAGGUCAGACCUGAAGGUAUUAUGGCGGAGUGAUAAGCCCAGAGACCCUGGAGUGGGAUGGCUUCUACUGCUCAACGAGGAACCUUGGCAGCACAUAAUUGAGACAUGGCCAGAGCCCAGCCACAGCUGCCUUUUCCUCAGGAAACUUUGGCUGGCAUAAACUGAGACCUGUAAAUCUACCAUGUGGAUGACACAGGCUGUGUGCCCAGCCCAGGCUCUGCGAGCGACAGAAGAGGAGGGAGUUGCUUAGUGACAUGACACAAAGGGUGUCUUUGAUUCAUCGCCCAGCUCCAGCCCCAAGCCCAUGGCCAACAGUGAGUAACGGCUGCAAAUGGAC